GAUGAAGAACGUAGCGAAAUGCGAUAAGUAGUGUGAAUUGCAGAAUUCCGUGAAUCAUCGAAUCUUUGAACGCACAUUGCGCCUCCUGUAGUCCGGGAGGCAUGCCUGUUCGAGCGUCACCAAAUCCAACUCAAGCGGUUUUGCGCUUGGUCGUGGCGGAAGAGUCGGUCUGGUUGCCGUCUCCCCUCCGAAAAUCAACGGCGGAAAGUCACUGGCAGUCAGCGUAGUAGUAUCGUUCGCCGAACAUCCAGUGGCAUUCCUGCCGACGUACCCCCACAAUUCUCGUGAUUGACCUCGGAUCAGGUAGGGAUACCCGCUGAACUUAAGCAUAUCAAUAAGCGGAGGA
rnacentral:misc_RNA from 1 species